GGUACAGAGUCAAUGUGGAGGCUAUAUACAGGGGGUACCGGUACAGAGUCAAUGUGGAGGCUAUAUACAGGGGGUAUCGGUACAGACUCAAUGUGGAGGCUAUAUACAGGGGGUACCGGUACAGAGUCAAUGUGGAGGCUAUAUACAGUGGGUACCGGUACAGAGUCAAUGUGGAGGCUAUAUACAGUGGGUACCGGUACAGAGUCAAUGUGGAGGCUAUAUACAGGGGGUACCGGUACAGAGUCAAUGUGGAGGCUAUAUACAGGGGGUACCGGUACAGAGUCAAUGUGGAGGCUAUAUACAGGGGGUACCGGUACAGAGUCAAUGCGGAGGCUAUAUACAGGGAGUAGUUGUACAGAGUCAAUGUGGAGGCUAUAUACAGGGGGGUACCGGUACAGAGUCAAUGUGGAGGCUAUAUACAGGGGGUACCGGUACAGAGUCAAUGUGGAGGCUAUAUACAGGGGGUACCGGUACAAAGUCAAUGUGGAGGCUAUAUACAGGGGGUACCGGUACAGAGUCAAUGUGGAGGCUAUAUACAGGGGGUACCGGUACAGAGUCAAUGUGGAGGCUAUAUACAGGGGGUACCGGCACAGAGUCAAUGUGGAGGCUAUAUACAGGGGGUACCGGUACAAAGUCAAUGUGGAGGCUAUAUACAG
rnacentral:lncRNA from 1 species